GAGUCAGUCCCCAGCCCAGGCCUAUGGCCCAGGCGAGCCUCCGAUGCCAAGGUAGAACAAAGGGCCGUGUCUAAUUAAUUAAACACCUCGACCCCAGUUCAUUAACAAUAAAACAUAAUUUAAUUGUAACUUCAAUAUUAAUAAAAACCCCCGCCCAAGGUGGUGCCGAUUGGCUGGCGUGCCGGCCACUGGGCUCGUCAUGGGCUGCCGGAUCACUUCGCUGCAGUAGCCGUUCUGCACGGGACUCGUCGGCAUGAAGCCGUGGUUGCCUUGUGCCGGGCUGGGCAGAGACUGACAUCGAGAGCUGUUGCCCAGGGGCGUGGAUGGCACUUGGAAGCUGGCGCUCGGUGCAGCCUGGCACUGGCCAGCGCACCUGGUCGAGCCUCCCUGGCAGGAUCACCAGCUUGUUCUCCACCAUCUCACCCUCGGCCACCUCGUCCAGAACAACCUCUUGGUUGGGGUGCAGGUCGCCAGGGAGUGGUGCUAGCGCCGGGAGCACCACGCUACUGGGGCGCGGCAAUAAGGCGUGGCGCUCUGUCUUUCGACACGGAUCUGAAGCUCGCCUGCAGUCUCCGCCGCCCAACGACAUGCUUGCCGUCUGAAACAUAUAAUACUAAUUGUUUUCUUUUUCUGUUAUUUUUUUUUAUUUGCAUCACUUUAACAAUAUUAAAUUAUUGUGCCCAUACAUUUUAUAUGUUUUGCACCAGGCAGGCAUAGAAGAUCAGAUUUUAAGACUCUUCCUCAGUACAUAUGUGUCCUCCAUGAUUUUCCCAUCUUCCCCUCUAACCUGCUGCUGCUUACUCUUUCCUUGUUUUUAUCCUUCUCCUCUUCUGGUUUUUGCACAUGUGCGUUGACAUGCUAGAUUUUGCAUAAAUUAGCAUUUAACAGAUAAUUCUGUCAUUAUCAGCAGUUUCUUGUACAGAGUGUUACCUUCGAGACCCAGGGUGAGCAUCAGAGGUGAGUCAUAGCAGAUUUAUAAUUUCUGGUGUAUGUCAGCUUGGUGUGUGGUGUUUACACCCACAAUGAAGGUGCUUAAUUGCUUAAACUCUGUUAUAAUUUAUAUUUUGGCCAGCCACCAUAAAAAUUGCACACCUGGUAAAUUUAUGAGUGUGCUUUUGAGCUUGUUGAGUAACCUUUUUUUGAGUAGUAAGUUCUUUUACCAUGAUGAGCUUGGAUGCAUUGCCUGGUAUAACUUGUUUUUCUGGGUUUAAGUUAGUAAUAUUUUCCUUGUAGUUGUUUUGAGCACUAUUUACCCCAUUAAUGGUAUUAAAUUUUUGUGGUGCAGACAAUUAUUUUUUUUGAAGUUUUCUCUUGAAUUUUUUUGCCUAGUUGUUCACUAUACUUGUGUGGGUGCUAAAGUCGGUGUAUAUUCACAUGUAGUUUGAUACUUUUUGUGUAAUUUGUAAUUUUUAGCCUAAUAAAAUGUUUAUUACAAUAUUUGUUAGGUACAUAUUUGGAUUUAUUUUUCCAUGCAUUUUUGUCCUUAUGUAUAUUAUGAUUAAACUAUACAUAUGUUUGUAACCUUAAGUAAAAUUUGAUCAAGUAUCAUAAAUAUUAAUAUCUGUUGGGAUUCUCAAUUAUCUUUCAAAUAUUGCUAUCUUGUGAAGGUGUUAAACCAUGGCCACAAGUGUAACUUUUAUCUAGAGGUAAAAGUUGUCAUGAUUUGGAUGUUUGUCUUUUCUGUGGCUUUGAGAUAUUUGAAAUAAAAUCGUUUAUGGUUUGUCGCCACGUCA